rnacentral:rRNA from 1 species
GACGAACGCUGGCGGCGUGCUUAACACAUGCAAGUCGAACGAAGUGGCGAACGGGUGAGUAACGCGUAGGUAACUGCCUGGUAGCGGGGGAUAACUAUUGGAAACGAUAGCUAAUACGCCAUACUACCAGAUGGACCUGCGUUGUAUUAGCUAGUUGGUGAGGUAACGGCUCACCAAGGCAACGAUACAUAGCCGAGCUGAGAGGGUGAGCGGCCAAAAUGGGACUGAGGAACGGCCCAGACUCCUGAGGGAGGCAACAGUAGGGAAUUUUCGGCAAUUGGGGGAACCCUUGCCGAGCAACGCCGCGGGAGUGGAGAAGGUUUUCGGAUCGUAAAGCUCCUUUGGUAAGGAAACGGUACUUAACCAGAAAGGGACGGCUAACUACGUGCCAGCAGCCGCGGUAAUAC